CCAAAAAUAAUUUGUUGACCUAAAAUGAGUCACUGUAUAGAUUGUUAGAAUAUUCUGCAGAGGAAGCUGUUUCGGGGAAUAGACUUAAAAUGCAUUGACUGCAUGAAGUGAACAGAACACAGUGACGUUCUUGAUGAUAUGAAGGUUCACAGACGUUCCAGACAGAUGAAGAUGUUCCUCUCUCAGCAGCUCUGGUCCCUGUUUCAGCGUUCUCAGCAGGACUGACUGUGAGUCCCAGCAGAUCUCAGUUCCUUCAAGGAGACUCAGUGUCUCUGAGCUGUGAGGAGGACGGAUGGACAGUUUGGAGGAAGACCAGCAGGAGACAGAGGAGUUCAUGUGAAGACUGGUGGGGAGAACCUGCUGGUUCCUCCUGUAGAAUCAGCUACAUGUUGACCAGUGACAGUGGAGUUUACUGGUGUGAGUCCAGAGAGGGAGCAGCUGGAAGCAGCAUCAACAUCACUGUAGCUGAUACAGUGGUCCUCCAGAGUCCAGUCCUCCCUGUGAUGGAGGGACAGGACGUCCCUCUGGGUUGUAGAACCAGCGCUCCCUCCACCCUCUCAGCUGAGUUCUUUAAAGACGGCGUCUCCAUCGGGACCGAGUCCACAGGUCACAUGACCCUCCGCCAUGUUUCCCGCUCUGCUGAAGGCCUCUACAGGUGUAGCUUCAGAGGUGUUGGAGAGUCUCCACCCAGCUGGAUCUCUGUCUCAGGUGAGGAGGACGAACCUGCUGCAGGUCUGCUGCUGAGAACCUCCUUCAACUGAGACUGAUUUCAGGGAACCACAAGACAGAUCCUCCUCCUGGUUCCUCCUCUGAUCCUCCUCCUGGUUCCUCCUCUGAUCCUCCUCCUGGUUCCUCCUCUGAUCCUCCUCCUGGUUCCUCCUCAGAUCCUCCUCCUGGUUCCUCCUCUGAUCCUCCUGGUUCCUCCUCUGAUCCUCCUCCUGGUUCCUCCUCUGAUCCUCCUCCUGGUUCCUCCUCAGAUCCUCCUGGUUCCUCCUCUGAUCCUCCUCCUGGUUCCUCCUCUGAUCCUCCUCCUGGUUCCUCCUCUGAUCCUCCUCCUGGUUCCUCCUCUGAUCCUCCUCCUGGUUCCUCCUCAGAUCCUCCUGGUUCCUCCUCUGAUCCUCCUCCUGGUUCCUCCUCUGAUCCUCCUGGUUCCUCCUCUGAUCCUCCUCCUGGUUCCUCCUCUGAUCCUCCUCCUGGUUCCUCCUCAGAUCCUCCUGGUUCCUCCUCUGAUCCUCCUCCUGGUUCCUCCUCUGAUCCUCCUCCUGGUUCCUCCUCUGAUCCUCCUCCUGGUUCCUCCUCUGAUCCUCCUCCUGGUUCCUCCUCUGAUCCUCCUCCUGGUUCCUCCUCCCGUCUCCUCCCUGUGUGGAUCUCCCUCUCCUCUCUCGUUGUGGUUCUCCUGCUGGUUCUCCUGCUGGUCCGGUUCUGCAGCAGGAACCCUGAAGGCUCGGCAGCAGAACCUGAAGUCACCUACAGCGACGUCAACAUCCUGCAGCGUCAGCAGCAGCCGGUCAGACGGAGCAGAGAUGUGGAUCCAGUGUUUUCAGAAGUCACUUUCAGACGUUUCUCAAGAAAAUCGUCAAAGAGAAACGAAGCUGAGCGGAGAAGUCAGAGAUUCCUCCAGAGCCUGACGUGGUCUACUCCUCCCUGAGGUGACCCCCCAGUCCAGACCCAUCCGGACCCAGACCUCCACACUGCUGAGUUCUACUGAGUUCUGCUGAGUUCUACUGAGUUCUACUGAGUUCAGACUGGAUUCUCUUGAGUUUUAAUUGAGUUUGAACUGGUUUUUAUUAAGUUUUAUUUGACUUUGAUCAUGUUUUUUUAUUCAUUUUAUUCAGUUUUAACAGGUUUUCAUUGAGUUUUAUUCAGUUUUCUUCUCUGUCGUCUCUCUGGUGGUUAAACAGUCACUCCUCAUAUUAAAAAACCGAAAAUUUUAUUUUAUUCAGUAUAAUUUGCUUUCUUCUGUUUUCUGGAAGUUUUUCACUCUUGCUGCUCAAACUGCUGUGCUUUUUAUUUCUAAUGUUUUCUGACUUUAUUUUCAACCAGUUUCUGUGUUCGACUGGUUUUUGG
ensembl:lncRNA